UGCCGAUCUCGAAAACCUGUCCCAGUUCGGACUGGAGUCUGCAACCCGACUCCACGAAGUUGGAUUCGCUAGUAAUCGCGCAUCAGCCAUGGCGCGGUGAAUACGUUCCCGGGCCUUGUACACACCGCCCGUCAAGCCAUGAAAGCCGGGGGUACCUGAAGUACGUAACCGCAAGGAGCGUCCUAGGGUAAAACUGGUAAUUGGGGCUAAGUCGUAACAAGGUACC
rnacentral:rRNA from 1 species